CUAAUAUCUGCACUGUGCUGAGAUCACCACCUGGCACACAGUGAGCACUACAGGCAUAUUGGUUAAAUAAAAUAACAAUAAUAACAGUUUUAUCUACAGUCCCUCAGGUGGUGAGCCAGGGAAGAAGGUUCCGGUCUUUGAGUGCAGGACUGUCUCAGCCUUCUGAGAUGAUUACGGAGUGGAAUCAGGUUCUAUUUGUAUUAAUUUGGUGGGGCUGCCAUAAUAAAGGACCACAGACUGGGGGGCGUAAACAACAGAAAUUAAUUUCCUCACGGUUCUGGAGGCUGCAAGUCCGAGAGCAAGGUGUCUGCAGUUUUUCCGAGGCCUCUCUCCUCGGUUGCAGAUGGGCACCUUCUCCCUGUGUCCUCACAUGGCCUUUCCUCUGUGCUUCUGUGUCGUCAACUCCUCUUCUUAUAAGGACACCAGCCAUAUUGGAUUAGGGCCCAUCCUGAUGACCUUAUUUUCACUUAUCUCUUUAAAGUCCCUAUCUCCAAAUGCAGCCACAUUCUGAGGUGCUGGGGGUUAGGACCGCCACAUAGGAGUUUGGGAGAGAGGGGGUCACCAUUCAGCCCAUAACUGUAAGAAACCAGGAGAAUUACCUCUCACAUCGGAUGUAUCCCAUGCACUUGCUGGCUUACUUCUGCCUCAGUGUUUUUCAAAGUGUGGUCCAGAAUCACCUGCAACCGAAUCGCUUGGGCUGGUAAUAAAAAUGAGCCUGCUCCAAGCCCUUGGGUCAGAAUCUGGGGGAGGGGACUGCAGGGCCCACGCAUGCGGCUUGCUUGUUUUUUACAUUCAUUCGAAGGUUUAGUUUAAUCAAGGGAAUCCAGGAAAAGCCAGACAGCAAGGAAGGCCCCUUCUGCGCCCCCGCCACUGCAGUAGCCCGGGUAAGGGCGGGGGAAAGAGGAGGAGGAGAAAGGGAGGCGGCCCCGUGGGAAGUCUGAGCAGGGAGCACGUUCAUCCUGAUUGGUCACCCGAGGGGGUGACAGGAGGAUCUACUUUCCUGCUCAAAGCCAGCCUCCCGGUCCCGUUCAGUGCAGGGACGCGGAGUUUUGCAGUGUAGACGCCAGCAGAGGAGGCCAUCCUCCCACCCUCCCAACCCUGGCAAGGCCAGGCUGUGGAACGCAGCCUGACCGUGGGGUCCCGGCCUUUCCCCUGGGCUGCACACCCGCCCCGCAGCUCCCGGCAGAACUCCCCUGCCCCUGGACGGCCGAGGGCCUGCGCCUCGAGCGCUGAAGACACAGGCAGCAGGGGCGUUGUCCGGGGCCACGUGCUGGCGAAGGGAGCGAGGCCGAGUUGGUUCACGCAGCUGCGGCCUCUGCUCCCACACCGCCGGCAGCCGUGGGAGGGCCGGCAGGGCCAGGCUGGCGCCCGCGCCGCUCCGGACACGCGCCUGCCUUUCGCCACCCAAGCACCCGCCGUGCGCGCCGGGGGCCCCGCAGCGGCGCAGAGCGGCCUCGGGCUGGAAACGUCCUCCCGGCGCCGGCCGCGCCUCGCCUGCUCCGCCGGCUCCGGCUGGCACGCUCGCGGCUCCAAACACGGCCCGGCUGCAGGUCGGGCAGGCCGCUCGCCCCGCACCCCGUUCCCGCCGGGCGGGGGGCGCGUCUCCUGCUGACUCGCCAGACGCGGAGCCGUCCAGGCAGCCCCGCGGCGGGACAGUCCGGCUCCUGCGCUUCCUUCGGCGAAGCCCGAGGCGGCAGGCCGGCUCCCGGCUCGCCCUCCGCGCCUGCGCAGUGCUGAGCGCGCGGGACUCAGGCUCCGCGCGGGCCCCGCGCACCCCGCACAGUGUCAAGUUCGAACUGCUGGAACUCCGUGAAUCCUGAGUACUGCGAUGAUUUAGGGACGCUCCUGAAGCUGGUCCUUUAGAAACCGCAUGGCUAUAGAUUGUCGUAUACUGGAAAAUACUCGGAAGUAGGACCUGGAUUCAAAUCCUAGGUUUGCCACAUAUUAGCUGUGUGACUUUGGCCAAGUUACUGUACCUCUCUGAACGUCUGUUUCCUCAACUGCAAAGCGGAAUUGAUAUCAUCUUCCACAUUAGCAGUAGAAGACUCGCCCUGAGCUCACAUCCGUGCCCAUCUUCCUCUACUUUAUACGUGGGAUGCCUACCACAGCAUGGCUUGCCAAGCAGUGCCGUGUCCGCACCCGGGAUCCGAACUGGCGAACCUCGGGCCGCCGAAGCGGAAUGUGUGCACCCAACCGCUGCGCCACCAGGCCGGCCCUUACUUAGCCUCUUUGAAACUCAAUCUUCUCAUCUGUAAAUGGGGAUCCUACACCAUUAGGUUGUUGUGAAGAUGAAUGUGAAUAAAAUGUAUAUUGAAGUAGUUUGUAAACUGUAAAGUGCUGAGAAAAAACAAUAAUUCAAAUCCCUCUUAGCAGGUAAACCUUACUUGCACGUAGUAAGUACUCAGAGAUCUGUGUUAGGUUACUUAUUAAUUAAAAAUGUUUGCCACGGGAAUGCUGUUCAAUCCCCCAAACGAAUGGUGGGGGUGGGGGGGGUGUCCUGAGCAGUCCUCCAAGGGUCCCGUGGGUCCAUGGGUGGUCUCUGAGGGGGUCUGACAUUGGGUGCAUACUCCCAAUGCCCAGGCUCAUGCCUUGGAACAUCUUCUUCGAUCCCCAUGCGAUAGAUAUUAACCAAGAUUCUCUCACCUCAUGUGGGGCAAAUGAAGCCACGUCGGGACUAAUAAUCCAAAUGUUAGUUUGUUACCACCAUCUGUCACGUAGAACUUAAUCCCAGCAAAGCGCCUUCCCCCAUACUUUUGGGGAGCCCCUGCGGUGGGUGUCCUACCCCCAGGCGCCAGGCAUGCCCUUCCCUGCCCUGCCGUCUCACCCACGCAAAGCGUCCUCCUCUCCCGUAUGCUCACUGGGGGGGUCCCAGCACAGCGACCCUGUACCGCAGCAUCUUAUAGAGUAUUCAGCAAACACUUCUUUUAGCUCUUAGUGACGGCCCUGCCCAGGAAUCGGACAAGGACUCCACAUGAGGGAGUGCCAAGGAUAGAUUCAGCCACCGUCACCACAGUGUGCCCAAGGCUGCUCCUUUCUCCCACACGGACACUUGGCCACUUGGUGAGCUCACGUGCUUGGCUCCUCGCAGCUCGUCAAGAGAGGCAGGCUCCCCGACCCCUGGGGGUCCCCGCAGCUCCCCAGACACGGCCAAAUCCUAGUGCAGGCUCCAGCUUGCACCCUCCCGCUCUACAGAUGAAGAUACGCAGGCUCAGAGGGUCAAAUAACUUAUCCUACGUCAUGAGACCAGCAGGCGGCAGAGAGGAGAGCCAAACCAGAGCAAAGUCCAAAUCCUGUGUUCUUUCUGAUCCAAAUCCCAGAUCAAAGUGGCAGUGACACGUUGUUCUGACCCUGGCUCCAUUCGGGAGGGCACGCUGUGCUGCUCACUGUUUGCUCUACAAGCUGUUCUCCUCCCCAGGGGCUUCAGGCUCUUUCUGCUUGUUUCUAUUGGGAGUUACGGUUUAGGCAUAAAAAAUUGGGAAUUUCAAGCCAUUUCACCUUCCUUCCCAUCCCCAGCUGCCCUCCCAACAGACCUACAAUUUAUCUAGUGAUAUUUGGCUCAUGGUUAAAAGCACCAUGGUGCUUAUACAGAUGACAGAACAAGCAAGUCUUGGCCACAGCUAAGGGCCACCUUAGCCAGUGUUAGUAGAUCUGAGACAAACACAAAUGCCUUGCCUCGGUUCCCAAAGCCCUAGAACCGGCUGCCCUACCCCUGCCCUCUGCUCCAGCCUAAAGGCCCUCACCCUGAGUUCU
rnacentral:lncRNA from 1 species